GGUCAAGUGAAGAAGCGCAUACGGUGGAUGCCUUGGCAGUCAGAGGCGAUGAAAGACGUGGUAGCCUGCGAAAAGCUUCGGGGAGUCGGCAAACAGACUUUGAUCCGGAGAUCUCUGAAUGGGGGAACCCACCUAGGAUAACCUAGGUAUCUUGUACUGAAUCCAUAGGUGCAAGAGGCGAACCAGGGGAACUGAAACAUCUAAGUACCCUGAGGAAAAGAAAUCAACCGAGAUUCCCUUAGUAGUGGCGAGCGAACGGGGAUUAGCCCUUAAGCUUCAUUGAUUUUAGCGGAACGCUCUGGAAAGUGCGGCCAUAGUGGGUGAUAGCCCCGUACGCGAAAGGAUCUUUGAAGUGAAAUCGAGUAGGACGGAGCACGAGAAACUUUGUCUGAACAUGGGGGGACCAUCCUCCAAGGCUAAAUACUACUGACUGACCGAUAGUGAACCAGUACCGUGAGGGAAAGGCGAAAAGAACCCCGGAGAGGGGAGUGAAAUAGAACCUGAAACCGUAUGCGUACAAGCAGUGGGAGCCUACUUGUUAGGUGACUGCGUACCUUUUGUAUAAUGGGUCAGCGACUUAUAUUCAGUGGCAAGCUUAACCGUAUAGGGUAGGCGUAGCGAAAGCGAGUCUUAAUAGGGCGUUUAGUCGCUGGGUAUAGACCCGAAACCGGGCGAUCUAUCCAUGAGCAGGUUGAAGGUUAGGUAACACUGACUGGAGGACCGAACCCACUCCCGUUGAAAAGGUAGGGGAUGACUUGUGGAUCGGAGUGAAAGGCUAAUCAAGCUCGGAGAUAGCUGGUUCUCCUCGAAAGCUAUUUAGGUAGCGCCUCAUGUAUCACUCUGGGGGGUAGAGCACUGUUUCGGCUAGGGGGUCAUCCCGACUUACCAAACCGAUGCAAACUCCGAAUACCCAGAAGUGCCGAGCAUGGGAGACACACGGCGGGUGCUAACGUCCGUCGUGAAAAGGGAAACAACCCAGACCGCCAGCUAAGGUCCCAAAGUUGUGGUUAAGUGGUAAACGAUGUGGGAAGGCUUAGACAGCUAGGAGGUUGGCUUAGAAGCAGCCAUCCUUUAAAGAAAGCGUAAUAGCUCACUAGUCGAGUCGGCCUGCGCGGAAGAUGUAACGGGGCUCAAACCACACACCGAAGCUGCGGGUGUCACGUAAGUGACGCGGUAGAGGAGCGUUCUGUAAGCCUGUGAAGGUGAGUUGAGAAGCUUGCUGGAGGUAUCAGAAGUGCGAAUGCUGACAUGAGUAACGACAAUGGGUGUGAAAAACACCCACGCCGAAAGACCAAGGGUUCCUGCGCAACGUUAAUCGACGCAGGGUUAGUCGGUUCCUAAGGCGAGGCUGAAAAGCGUAGUCGAUGGGAAACAGGUUAAUAUUCCUGUACUUCUGGUUACUGCGAUGGAGGGACGGAGAAGGCUAGGCCAGCUUGGCGUUGGUUGUCCAAGUUUAAGGUGGUAGGCUGAAAUCUUAGGUAAAUCCGGGGUUUCAAGGCCGAGAGCUGAUGACGAGUCGUCUUUUAGAUGACGAAGUGGUUGAUGCCAUGCUUCCAAGAAAAGCUUCUAAGCUUCAGGUAACCAGGAACCGUACCCCAAACCGACACAGGUGGUCGGGUAGAGAAUACCAAGGCGCUUGAGAGAACUCGGGUGAAGGAACUAGGCAAAAUGGCACCGUAACUUCGGGAGAAGGUGCGCCGGCUAGGGUGAAGGAUUUACUCCGUAAGCUCUGGCUGGUCGAAGAUACCAGGCCGCUGCGACUGUUUAUUAAAAACACAGCACUCUGCAAACACGAAAGUGGACGUAUAGGGUGUGACGCCUGCCCGGUGCCGGAAGGUUAAUUGAUGGGGUUAGCGCAAGCGAAGCUCUUGAUCGAAGCCCCGGUAAACGGCGGCCGUAACUAUAACGGUCCUAAGGUAGCGAAAUUCCUUGUCGGGUAAGUUCCGACCUGCACGAAUGGCGUAACGAUGGCGGCGCUGUCUCCACCCGAGACUCAGUGAAAUUGAAAUCGCUGUGAAGAUGCAGUGUAUCCGCGGCUAGACGGAAAGACCCCGUGAACCUUUACUGUAGCUUUGCACUGGACUUUGAGCCUGCUUGUGUAGGAUAGGUGGGAGGCUUUGAAGCGUGGACGCCAGUUCGCGUGGAGCCAUCCUUGAAAUACCACCCUGGCAUGCUUGAGGUUCUAACUCUGGUCCGUAAUCCGGAUCGAGGACAGUGUAUGGUGGGCAGUUUGACUGGGGCGGUCUCCUCCUAAAGAGUAACGGAGGAGUACGAAGGUGCGCUCAGACCGGUCGGAAAUCGGUCGCAGAGUAUAAAGGCAAAAGCGCGCUUGACUGCGAGACAGACACGUCGAGCAGGUACGAAAGUAGGUCUUAGUGAUCCGGUGGUUCUGUAUGGAAGGGCCAUCGCUCAACGGAUAAAAGGUACUCCGGGGAUAACAGGCUGAUACCGCCCAAGAGUUCAUAUCGACGGCGGUGUUUGGCACCUCGAUGUCGGCUCAUCACAUCCUGGGGCUGAAGCCGGUCCCAAGGGUAUGGCUGUUCGCCAUUUAAAGUGGUACGCGAGCUGGGUUUAGAACGUCGUGAGACAGUUCGGUCCCUAUCUGCCGUGGACGUUUGAGAUUUGAGAGGGGCUGCUCCUAGUACGAGAGGACCGGAGUGGACGAACCUCUGGUGUUCCGGUUGUCACGCCAGUGGCAUUGCCGGGUAGCUAUGUUCGGAAAAGAUAACCGCUGAAAGCAUCUAAGCGGGAAACUUGCCUCAAGAUGAGAUCUCACUGGGAACUUGAUU
rnacentral:rRNA from 1 species